rnacentral:ncRNA from 1 species
UCCAUGGAUAAAAGAUUAAAGAGAGGAACUAAUUGCUUAAGGUAAUAGUUGUCUCUACCGACACUAAGGUGCGAAAGCAUGGGAGCAAACAUGAUUAGACACCCUGGUAGUCCAUGCCGUAAACGAUGAGUAUUCACCCUUGAUGUACGCGGAUAAGGAGCCCAGCUAACGUGUGAAAUACUCUUCCUAGGGAGUACUGUCUUACGAUCGAAACUCAAAAGAAGUGAUGGGGGCCCUGCACAAGUUCACAAUUUCUUAAUUAGUGCAAUUAUAUAUAUAUAUAUAUAUAUAUAUAUAUAUAUAUAU